rnacentral:rRNA from 1 species
UACAGAGGGGGCGAGCGUUGUUCGGAAUUACUGGGCGUAAAGGGCGCGUAGGCGGCCUUCUAAGUCGAACGUGAAAUCCCCGGGCUCAACCCGGGAACUGCGUCCGAUACUGGGAGGCUUGAAUCCGGGAGAGGGAUGUGGAAUUCCAGGUGUAGCGGUGAAAUGCGUAGAUAUCUGGAGGAACACCGGUGGCGAAGGCGGCGACCUGGGUAGAUACUGACGCUGAGGCGCGAAAGCGUGGGGAGCAAACAGG